CCUCCAAUUCUUGACGCACACGUGGUUGUCCAGUACUCGUGUGCGAUACGCACGGAGGGAGAAAAAAAUGCAGCGCUAUGUCUUCGGUGCCGGUGUGUGUUAUCGUCUGCCGGUUCUAUCCUCAAUCGCUGUAACAUUC